AUGAGCUCCGUUAUUUCCGGAACCCCCGGAAAGGCGAUCUCAGGGCGAUCGGAGGGAGGAGACGGCGGCCAAACCCAGGCGCCGGAGUUCAGAAAGAUCAGUGGAGAGAAGAGAUCUCCGGUGGAUACCACGGGCUCGGCUGCCUGCCUUGAUCCGCUGGGACUACGGGAAUCGUGGUUGAGAGCCAGAAAGGCAGUUUGCGAUCUAGUGGAGAGGAAAUCAAGGCCAGGAGCUAGGAAGAAAACAGAAAGAGAUCAAGAAAUCCCCAAGGUUCCGUGCCUGGAAAGAUUGGGAAGCAGGAUUAGGGAGAUGAGGGAAGAUCUGUGUCAACCAUCUCUGGAACAGAAUCUGUCUACAAGGCAGGAAACCACGGCAGUCAAAGAAAGGGGAGAUCCACCGGAUCGGGGACGAGAAUAUGAUCAGCAGUUCCAGAUUAUGCAGAUCAAACCAGAAGGAAAGAAUCCGCCCCUGCCAUCCCUAAUGGACGACAGGAUUGGGACGAAGAGCGCCACCCCCCUUUAA
rnacentral:rRNA from 1 species